rnacentral:tRNA from 1 species
GGGCGUGACGCUAUUGUGGCGUAUUACUCUGCAAAGGUAUUAGAGAUAUUUAUUAUCCUCGUCUU